CAGCCAAACUUUUAUUUUCUAAUCUAGAGCUUGAAAUGUCCCUGUAACAAUACGUGACUGCCAAUAGACAAUUCCCAUUAUAGACUAAUUUUAAAACUAGGCAAGGAGAUGCAAAUAAAUCACCACAGCUCGAAAGAACAUACUAAAAUAAGCGAGUAAAAUUGCAAAGUUUGGUUGCGAAAUGUUAUAAAAUGCGGAAAAUUUAGCCUUGCAAAGUUUGCAAAUUUUGUACACUUUU